UGGGGAAUAUUGCACAAUGGGCGCAAGCCUGAUGCAGCCAUGCCGCGUGUGUGAAGAAGGCCUUCGGGUUGUAAAGCACUUUCAGCGAGGAGGAAGGGUUCAGUGUUAAUAGCACUGUUCAUUGACGUUACUCGCAGAAGAAGCACCGGCUAACUCCGUGCCAGCAGCCGCGGUAAUACGGAGGGUGCAAGCGUUAAUCGGAAUUACUGGGCGUAAAGCGCACGCAGGCGGUUUGUUAAGUCAGAUGUGAAAUCCCCGCGCUUAACGUGGGAACUGCAUUUGAAACUGGCAAGCUAGAGUCUUGUAGAGG
rnacentral:rRNA from 1 species